rnacentral:rRNA from 1 species
CCUACGGGCGGCAGCAGUGAGGAAUAUUGGUCAAUGGCCGGAAGGCUGAACCAGCCAAGCCGCGUGAAGGACGAAGGUGCCAAGCAUUGUAAACUUCUUUUAUAAAGGAAUAAAACGAGGCACGUGUGCCUUUUUGCAUGUACUUUAUGAAUAAGGAUCGGCUAACUCCGUGCCAGCAGCCGCGGUAAUACGGAGGAUGCGAGCGUUAUCCGGAUUUAUUGGGUUUAAAGGGUGCGCAGGCGGAAUGUCAAGUCAGCGGUAAAAUUUCGGGGCUCAACCCCGUCGUGCCGUUGAAACUGGCGUUCUUGAGUGAGCGAGAAGUAUGCGGAAUGCGUGGUGUAGCGGUGAAAUGCAUAGAUAUCACGCAGAACUCCGAUUGCGAAGGCAGCAUACCGGCGCUCAACUGACGCUCAUGCACGAAAGCGUGGGUAUCGAACAGGAUUAGAUACCCGUGUAGUC